GUCGAAAUACAUCUUAGCCCUCAUGACCCAAUUAUCUGGGUCCUUUCCUUCGAAAGUCGGCAUAUCGAGCUUCUUCUGUUUCCAAGGGCCUCCGCCUCCGCCGUCGUACUAACCUCUGUCGUUCCACCCUCUAGGUUCCCUCCAAUGCGGCAUGCCAAAAUGCUCUUCUCUCGGGGUACGUACCUCAUUUUCGCCAUGAAUUUGGCUGUUUCCCUCGCCAACAGGGGACAAAGGGGGCGGUGGUGGUGGUGGUGGCGCUCUGAUUGUGGUGGCCGCCGCCACGGCUUUCCGAAUUUCCUCUCUGAAUUUGUCCUGUUCCUUGGCACUGAGGGUAGCUUGCAUUUCCUGGUCCUGCCGGUGCCGAUCUAUCCUUCCUUCGAGUCUGAUUCGGUCGUCCUCCUGCCUUUUCCUCUCCGACUCGAACAGGGUGGUGAAAUGGUCGGUUAUGGCUUUCUGUGUUUCGGCCAUAGCCCUCCCUACUGCCUCCGCGACUGCUCGCCCGAUUGAAACGUCUUGGUUGGUCAGCUUUUCUUCAAUUGACUUCAAGCGUGACUCCACCUCCUCAAUUUUUUCGUCCACCGCGUCGGCACGCUGGGUUAACGAUGGACCCCCCACCAUGACCGUACCGCUCUGAUACCAAGUUGUCAAAGACCGAAUUCCACACAGCAAUUAUACUACUAAGACAACAAAUUAAGGGAAAGCUUGAUGGUUAAUUUGAUUAAUUAAACUGAUGAUCACAGUGGAUAGUCAAUGGCUUGAGGCCAUAAAUCUCCUGGUAGCUUGAGGCUACUACUCUCAAGAGGUUCUUACUAAAUUUCUGGAUGCCCUCUACAAUUACUCUCUACUCAUACUAAUACUAAGCUUUCCCAUGACAAAAGAGAUACAUGUGACUAUUAGACAUAAAAAUAGCAAAACCCAAAAUAAGACAUAUAAAUUACUCCUGCUACUUUCCCUAAUAAACUUUUAAUGAGCUUUGUCUCUUCUCUUUGUUGAAGUUGACUCUCUUAGAUGUCCCCGUCAUUAACUCCCUCAAUCAAACGGCUACUUUCUUCUUGCUGAACCUUGUGCAUUCUUGACUUGGGCCUUCUUGAGUAAACCUUGACGGGCUGGGCCGUACCUCUAGCUAAAUCCAUGACAUAGCCUUGUGCUUAAUAUGCCACAAGGAUUAAUCAGUUGUAGUUGCUAUAAGCUGGAUGACGUAAUAAGUUGAGAUUGUUCUUUCCUGAUCCUUUAUAUUUAGCUAACACAUUAUUAGUGAACUGCAUAAAUUUGUUUGUCAUUCUUUGUCAUUUAUUACUUUAGUGCAUCCAUUAGAACAUUUGCUAGUUACUCAUUUAAUUAAAUGAAGAUAAUGCUUUGUACUGGAAAAUUUGUCGAAGAUAAAGCUUGUCUACUGUGGUAGUUGCUCACUAACCUUUGCUAGUUCUUGACGAGUGAUUUUUUUUAUUUUUUUAUUUUAUUUUGGACAGUGCUUAGUGGCAAUAAAUUUUUACUCUAGUUGUUUUUGUCCCAUUUAUCUGCUCUUAAUGCUUUACUUUAUGAAUACAAGUAGGCUCCUGACUACGCAGAAGCUGUGUGUGUGUUGAAAGGCACUAGUUGUUUAAUUUGUUUCUGAUAAAAUUGUUUCUGAAAUCAUCUUAAAUUGUUUGUGUUAAAUUACAGGCUUAAUCUUUGAUUGGAAAUAGACCAUUCCACAUGUUGAAUAUUGACUCUGUCUCUCACAGACAGGCGAUGGUUGAGGCUGGAAUGAUCAGAAAUUCGACAGAGGACUGUUAUGGCUUUCUUUCUCUUUUGGCGAUAAUAAAUCAAAGAAUUGGCACAACUUGGGUGAGAACCAAAACAAAGGAGGUUGCCGCCUUUCCAGUGCUGUUCAUAUGCUUUGCAUAUAAUUCUAUUUUGCUUUCUCCUGCCAACGGACAACUUACAGGCACUACUUUUACUAUUGUUGGUUAUUGAAGAUCUUUCAUGGUUGCUACUUGGUUGUAACUUGUAAGUCAACUGCUUUAAUCUCUAGUCCCACAUUGAUUAUUUACAAAGCUACUGGUCUCUUAUCUAGUCCCACAUUGAUUACUUACAAAGCUACUGGUCUCUUUAUCAAGCUUGGCUUCUAGAUAGAGAUUGUCUCUUCGGAGACAUCUGAUAAAAUUGGAACGAUACAGAGAAGAUUAGCAUGGCCCCUGCGCAAGGAUGACACGCACAAAUCGAGAAAUGGUCCAAAUUUUUUUGACCUUUUUGCCCCUGUUUAUAGUGUGUUUUGCUUCUUUUUUGUUUCCCUCCAGUGAUAUAAUGUUCUUUUGCUGUUGACUGUAUUACAUGCUCUAUACCAUGAAAUUAGCACUUGAUUGUCUGCUGAAAAUAGUGUAUAGAGACAUCUGAUAAAAUUGGAACGAUAAAGAGAAGACUAGUAUGGCCCCUAUUUUUUUGACCUUUUUGCCCCUGCUUUUAAUAUGUGUUUUGCUUUUUUUUUUUUUUUUUUUUUUUUUUUAUCAAGUGUAGUGUCUGUUCUUAUCAAUUUAAUAUCUGUUACGUGGUUUAACUUGCAUGUAGAGGGAGGAAGUGGCUACCCUAUUAUGAGGUUACUUAUUAUUGGUACAUAAAUCUAAGUCACUUAAUCACAUGACUUCCUAAGUUGCCUUCCUUUUUUUUAGGGAGGGGUGUUGGUGUUGGGUGUUAGGUAGCUGAUGGAGGGGGGAAGAGAUUUUAGGUUGGGUGGUGGAGAAGAAUGUGUUCGGCAAUGGUGGAGGAGGUCGGUGGUGGUGGUUUGGGAAGGUUUUUUUUUAAAAAUGAAUUAUUGAUGGAUAGAUAAUGUGCUAAUUACACCAAUUAGUUGUGACCAUGGAGGGGUGUUGGUGUUGGGUGUUAGGUAGCUGAUGGAGGGGGGAAGAAAUUUUAGGUUGGGUGGUAGAGAAGAACGUGUUCGGCAAUGGUGGGGGAGGAGGUCGGUGGUGGUGGUUUGGGAAGGUUUUUUUUUUUUUUUGUUUUUUUUUUUAAAGAAUUAUUGAUGGAUACAUAAUGUUCUAGUUACACCAAUUAGUUGUGACCAUGGAUAGAUAAUAUGUUACCAGCCUACAAUAGGCUUUUUUUUAAUUGUUGAGGGCUCGGCUCAUUAAACAGUAUGAGUUUAAAAGUUCGGAUUAUUAGGAAUCAUGGAAAGACGAGAUUUUUAUUCGCGAACCACUAAAAGUUUGGCUUUUCAAUACAAUUUUUUUUGGAACAUGGUCUCUUUACUCUUGUUAAAGAGGGGUGUAAAUGUAGAGUGCCAAAAGAUUAUCCUUAAAAAUUUUAUAUGAUAUAUAGAAAAUUCGUCCAGACGUUCUUUUGAUUGUAUCAACGUAUGGGACAAAAUCAGUAGAGUGUCAAAUCCUCGGAUACGAAUCAUACGACGCCAAUAUAUGGUGCAACAUUGUAUGAUUUGUAUCAUCAGUAAGAGCAAUUAGGUCGUAUUACCAAAGUGUGAAAUUGAAUAACUAUUUUCAAACAUUCCAUAUAGGGAAGAAUAACUAAAAAGAAAUGAAGUAAACUUAUGGACAAAGUUGGAUUAUGUGAACAUUGCAAUGACUAUAAAACCGACGGAUGUUUUUGUGUAAUAAACCAAUUUCUUCAUUUGCUCAUGAUGGAAGUUUGGAUAUGCACAUUAGCAGCUAACCUACUAUUAUAUAUUACUCCCUCCGUUCACAAAUGAUUUUUCCUGCACUCCGUUUAGGAUGUCCACACAUAAUCUUCCUGAAAAUGAAAAUUUUUACACUCAAUCCAUGUGAUGUGGACCCCUUUAUUAAAUUUCUUUUCUCACAUUCCACUCCACCCUAAUACGUAGUAAAUUUCAGAAUACGUACGUCUAAAUUUAACAAGAAUAUUAUUUGUGAACACGUGAAGUAUUUAUGUGUGAUAAACCUUUCUAUAUUCAUCACAAAACCCACUAGAUUCUAGGACUUUGGUCUUUUUAUUGCUAAUACACUCUUUAUCAUGUACUCUUGAGGAAGUUUUCUGUGAACAGGACUCCUAAUAAGAAAUGAUAUUGAUUUCCUAUCCAAAACUGAAGUUCUGUACCACAUCGAAAAGAAAUAACGAGGGUGCGGAGACGUUAUGGAAUAAAACGCAGGAGAUUAGACUUAACAAAUCAUACCUUUCUCGGCCUUUUGGCUAAGAUCAAGUGUAGUAUCUGUUCUUAUCAGUUUAAUAUCUGAUACGUGGGCCAAUGGCCCACAAUGAUAUUAAAUUUAUUUUUUAAGGGGGAAAAUCCACCACAGUAGCUUGCUACUGGGAUCUUCAAGCGUCGCCAAUGCGUUGCACUACUGCAUUGGCCUGGUGCACCCCACCAAUACUCAGCUCAAAAGUUUCUCAGAAUCUCUCAAACUGUAUGUAUUUGUAUUCCGUACUCUAUGAUGUCAUGGACAAAUCUAUGUUGUUUAAGUACGUUCACAAUUUGAGUAGUGGUGGAACAUGUAGUGACUGGUGAAGAGGUGGAUCCAAUGAGAAAAUAUUUUUCUUGGCACUUGGCAGUGCAAAUUCUUGAUAUGUUGUUAGGCUCUUAGACAAUUAUGUGACCGGAAAUCCAUUGUGGUACAUCCCAUAAAUUGGAACUAUACUGUGAAGAUUAGCAUGGCCUCUACACCAAGAUGAUACACAAAAUCCAGAAAUGGUCCAAAUCUAUUCUCCUGCUCUUAUUUUUAUUCUUUUGCCCCCCUUUCUGCUGUUAUUUUAUAAUUUUUAUAGGAAAUAUAUUUUCUUCCUAUUUUGUUUAAAAUAUUAUCUUUAAUAGCAUACCUUCUUUAUUUUUAAAGCUGUCUUGAGUUUUGAUGGACAUGGUAUGCUUUAAUGUGGCUCAUGACAUACAUUUUCACACAAUGUGCAUGAUAAGGAUUGACUAUGUCAAGUCAAUCCUUAAAAUUGUUAUUAACCAUACGUACAAAUUAUUUACAACUAAAUAACAAUUUUGAAGAGGAGACAUAGUGGAUAUAGAAGAAAUAGAAAAUGGUGUUUGGUGACACUUAUUGCAAGCACAUGAAUUGCAAUCCAAUGUAAAGAUGCUAGAGACAUAUAGGGAUGGUGCCCGACUACCAGUCAAGGGAAUUACCGAAUUAGGUUUAAUGCUCAUGAGAACUAGAUGUUGGUAGGAACUCUUUGGAUGCGUUACUGUCAAUGCAAAAUUGAGAAGGAAAUGAUAGUACAAGCCAUUUAAGGAACAUCAUGAACAUUUUUUUUUUUUGAAGAAUCAUGAACAUUAUUUUAGUAUGAGAGAAGAGAGUAAUUGAAAAAGAGAACCAAUGUGAUAAUUUUUGUAAACUUGUACCUUCUCUAGGGCUGUUAAUGAGCCUAGCUGAGCUUCAAAGAGUAGUAAUUGUUACAAUUGUAAUUUGUUGUACCAACUAAUGUAUGCUGUUUAAUACGACAAGCAGAUAGUAUUUUUUAGUAAAGUGUGAAAGAAUAGUUUGCUCAACUACUCUUUGACAUCUUCAAUCAAUGGGUUUCAAGUCUUUCAACAGAGAAACUCCGAUAAAACCUGCCUAUAUUUACCAAUUUGAUACAUACUAUCCGGUUCAAAUAUUGUGUGCAUAUACACCAUUCGUUUGCUGAUUUGAUGGUAUGCAUGCGUAUUCUGUGUGAAAUGACACAAAUGUAUGGUGUUUUUCAACCCGGUCCAAUUCUGUAGAAUUCAAGUGACCAGAGAAUGUGCUUGAACAGCUAGAGCUGAGGUUUUGGUGCUGGCAAGAACAAGAAAAAUGGACUUGAUGUAUCUUCAAUAGUUUUUGGUUUUCUCCCGAGUCCUGAUUGAUGGAACUUACACUUCUACAAGCACUACUGAGGUUGUCAGUGUAGCUAUACGUACUGCAAGUUUAUUAUUCUGAUAUAAUUAGUUGUACUGACAGUCAUCCUGGUUCGCGUGCAGAGAUGAUGCCACCUUGAGAUACAGUCUUAACAUUUGUUCUUUCUAUCUUUGUUUUUUUUUUUGGGACAUUCGAAACUUCUUUUAGCAGGUUAUGUUCUCCUUCUGCAUUCUGUUUUAUAUUUAACUGCGCCACUAACAGUUUUAUUUCUCCUUUUAGCAGGUUAUGUUCUUCUGCAGUCUGUUUCAUGACUGCGCCACUAACAGUUUUAUUUUUCUAACCCUGAUAUGGGGAGUUUAAAUUGUUGUCAUGUAUGGCAUAUAUCCUCGAGUCCUUGAGCACCAUGAUGCCUCAGACUGCUGCAAGUUCUUUUCAGAUAUUUCAUUGACAUUAAAAAGUACAGCAAUGAAGGUUGAACUAGAUAUUUGAUAGGGGCCGCGCGAACGCAGGCCCCCUCUAUCACAAAUUAUGACGUACACUCUUCCUCUUGGGAAGAUGUUAAGCAGGCACCCCUCCUAAAGUGCAAUGGAGGCCACCUACCUAGGCCAUGAGUCUUCUUGAUCACUCAUUGACCCCGUCCAGGUAGAGAUGGGAAGAUUUCCGGAGUUGGUGAUCCCACAUUGGUUAGGUGAAGCAUUAGCCGAAAUAACCAGAAAAUAAAUAGACGUUUGUUUAGCUUAGCAAAUCAUACCUUUCUCGGCCUUUUGGCUAAGAUCAAGUGUAGUAUCUGUUCUUAUCAGUUUAAUAUCUGAUACGUGGGUCAAUGACUCACAACGAUAUUAAAUUUAUUUUUUAAGGGGGAGAAUCCAUCACAGUAGCUUGCUGCUGGGAUUCUCAAGUGUCGCCCAUGCGUUGCACUGCUGCACGGGCCUGGCACUCCCCAC